rnacentral:lncRNA from 10 species
CAUGACCUCCUUGACCUCUGUCCUGCAAAUGUGAAACGGGUGGAUCCUGUAGGACCCCUGCAGGCUCUGUGCAAAUUCAGUUAGAAUGACUCACCAUUCCCCCAAGUAAAUGGUAUUUUUCACUUUUCGGCAACACCGCUUUCUCUUGUACAGUCAGAGCUGUCAGCCCACACAAAAGAGGAGAGUCUGAGGCUUUAGUUUGAUGAACACGUUUAUUAUGAUGGGAUGAGCAUCAGAGCCCGCAGCUCUUGGCCCUGCUGGUGGCAGAGGCUUUGUACCGUGUGACAGUGACCUGAAUAUGGAAGCAGAAGGGAGCUUCUAAGGAACGGAUGCUGAGAGUCUCUUGUCCUGGCCUGGACACUGGGGUUCAGCAAGAGAGAGACGCUGCAAGGUGCAUCACAGAUGAUCCUGGGACAGAUGGAUCUUGGCAUCACGGAUGGCAGCAUUCACUCCACUGGCCCCAGAGUUCUGCAGGGCAGAGUGGAUGGCCAUUGUGUGCUGUGUGCUCUGAGGAAGCUUCUUCAACUGCUCUGCGAACUGCAGCAGUUAGGUGUAGUAUACAAGGCAGUCACAUGGACAGUGACCCAGAUACAGACCAGUCUCAAGAUAAACAAAAGGAAGAUACCUCAUCUGCAACCCAUGGCCUGAGUUUUUCAUAAUGCCCAGAAUGGUGGUGCAAGGUGAACACUAUGUUAGAAAGCUACCACUGGCUGGAGGACAUGCCACGGGGACAAAACCAAUAAAAAGCAGGACAGAGAAACCACCUUGCAGGAGCAUAAAGAAAUCAGCGAAUUGAAAUUUUUUUUUGACGCUGAGUGAGGUGGAAUACUGACCGUAUCGCAUCCUAAUGGCGUCUUUUUGUCACACAUUGUCCAAGCACAUUUCCAUGAACACACACCCCAAGCGGGUUACGCACUUACGCUGCAUCCUUGACUCACCUACAUUUCUAAGGACGUCUGCCUUCUUCAGCAGCCCUCUGUGGCUUCCACACCCUCCCACACCAGCCAACCUGAAACAAGGUUUCAUCUUCCUCUAGGAAAUACUCAGGGCCUCGCUUCCUCCUUCAACAUCCACUGUGUCUUCCACACCCCAUCCUGAACCAGGUGCCCGAAUUCCGAGUUCCGUGUUGCUUCUGUCACACGUGGCUAAAGACCAGCUGCUCCCUAGAAAAUCACUGCUUUCCAUAGCACCCUGCCGAGUCUUACAUGAGGAGUUUUCUCCUUAGAGACGUGGAUUCUGAUUCAGAUAUUUGCUUUCAUCAUAAGCCUUGGAGCAAAGAGUAUAAAGGUGUUUUCUUCUGAAAGUUCCUUUGGUUGACCACCAAUCCCCAGCCUCAACUGG